AAAUGUACAGUAUAUUUAUGAAUAUAUUAGCCUACUGUAUCAUAGUUGAUACAGAAUGCAUUCUGACCUUUGACUGAUGGCAUCAUCAAGUCUUUUUGCUGUGAAAUCUUUAAUGAUUUUUAUGAUGUAAGAAUAACUUUUAUAUUGUUUAAUAAUGUUUCAUGAUUAACAUUUACUGGACUGAAGCAGCUUGGUGAUUAUCAACAUAAAUUUUAGCAUUAAAUAUUAUCAUCAUCAUCAUUACUACUACUACUACUACUACUACUAUUAUUAUUUUACAUUAUUUUUGUGUUCAAAUGUAAAUGUCAAAUAUGACACAGCAGGCAUUUGAGGAUGGUUUAUAUGCAUAUAUGAGCCAUAAAAGCCUGAUGUAUUAAAUAUGAUUCUUAACUAAACACACACACACACACACACAUACAUGUCAGCGGUGCGUGGGGGCCCUGUACCAGGACAUUUUAAAAGGCAUUAACAAAUCAAACAGAAUCUGUUUUUGCUUUGAAAAACUCAAGACGCGGCAGUGGAAUAAAAAAAAAAAAAAAUGCAAGGUCUAUUUUUUCCAACUUUUAAAUUCUUUUGACUUGAGCACCAUGUCUCUGGAAUGCUGUGUCAUGCUUGAGACACUGUAAAAGUCACGAGACCAGAGCGCAAAGAUAGUGCAGUGGAUCUGCGUGUGAAACCCUUAAAGGUGGGGUAUGUAUUUUUUCAAAAACACUUUAGAAAACCGAGUCGGCUUGAUAAGUCAAGUAGGACCCUUGUAAAUAUUGGAUCAGGUUUCCAGCACUGGAGAGAACUCAAGGUGCGAGAAGGCCUGCCAAGGUUGCUUAGCUUCUUCUGGAUAGUGUUUUCAGCAUGGGCGGUUCUAGGAUUUCAUCAUCGGGGGGACCUCAGAGACCACUAGAUACAAAGCAACCGACUGUGUUUAUGUGGAUACUCAUCAAGACAGCCAUUUUGACAUAAUUUUAUACUGGCAGUGUAAAGGAAAUAUAUGCAUUUAUUUGUAAAUGUAACUGACUUAAAACAAAAGAGAAUGAGGCGAGUUCAAAGAUUUGUUAUGCUGAGGCUUUGAUUUAUAUGAAAACGCUCCGGUUACUGACGUAACCUCAGUUCUGACUGAUGUGACAGCCAUCGAUUCA
ensembl:lncRNA